GCAGCAUCAGCAUCUGUGAUGACUGGCCUUGUGAAUUGCUUUGGCCAACAGAAUUUGGCAGAAGUGAGCUGUAUGAGUUCUAAGCCCCACCCGAAAGAGUCCUUACAGCAUCUUCCACUCUCUUGGAACACUGCCCCAGGACCACCAUGUAAGGAAGCCGGGUCAGCCUAACGGAAGCUGAGACACCGAGUGGAGGGGAGACAAGGUGACCCAGCCCAUAGCCAGCACCAACUUCUAGACAUGACAUGGAGCUCCCAAGGUGGAAGCUGGAGGCAGAGUCACAGUGCACAUCUCAUACGCUCUUGGUGGCAAUUUCUAAACUUGAAAUGCAACCCAGGACUUUUGUCAUGUGAAAAACUCCUUCCUAUGACACAGGUACAUCUUUUCUACAGUCCAAUCUCUUCAACAUGGCCUUGCUAGCAGCCCUUCUGCCACUUGGAGUAAAGUAGUGUGACAAAAAGAGGUCCAUGGCCAGCUUUGUUUUAUUUUAUGACAAUAGGGCUUUAAGUCCGGGAGCUUCUCAGAGGGAGAGGAAAGAGAGGUGCCUCCAGGGAGGGCUGUCCUCCCACCGUGGGCUCAAGACAUGGUCACUGAGGGACUGAAUGAUGGCAGGACUUCUUGCACCGACUCUG
rnacentral:lncRNA from 1 species